UCCCAGACUCCUACGGGAGGCAGCAGUGGGGAAUAUUGCACAAUGGGGGGAACCCUGAUGCAGCGACGCCGCGUGGGUGAAGGAGUACUUCGGUACGUAAAGCCCUAUCAGCAGGAAAGAAAUGACGGUACCUGACUAAGAAGCCCCGGCUAACUACGUGCCAGCAGCCGCGGUAAUACGUAGGGGGCAAGCGUUAUCCGGAUUUACUGGGUGUAAAGGGAGCGUAGACGGCAAUGCAAGUCUGGAGUGAAAGGCGGGGGCCCAACCCCCGGACUGCUCUGGAAACUGUAUAGCUGGAGUGCAGGAGAGGUAAGUGGAAUUCCUAGUGUAGCGGUGAAAUGCGUAGAUAUUAGGAGGAACACCAGUGGCGAAGGCGGCUUACUGGACUGUAACUGACGUUGAGGCUCGAAAGCGUGGGGAGCAAACAGGAUUAGAUACCCUAGUAUU
rnacentral:rRNA from 1 species